rnacentral:rRNA from 1 species
UAAUACAGAGGGUGCGAGCGUUAAUCGGAAUUACUGGGCGUAAAGGGUGCGUAGGUGGUUACGUAAGUUAGAUGUGAAAGUCCUGGGCUUAACCUGGGGAUGGCGUCUAAUACUGCGAAGCUAGAGUACUGUAGAGGAAAGUGGAAUUUCCGGUGUAGCGGUGAAAUGCGUAGAUAUCGGAAGGAACAUCAGUGGCGAAGGCGACUUUCUGGACAGAUACUGACACUGAGGCACGAAAGCGUGGGGAGCAAACAGGAUUAGAUACCCUGGUAGUCCAUGCUGUAAACGAUGAAGACUGGCUGUUGGGUACCCAAGGGUACUUAGUAGCGAAGCUAACGCGUUAAGUCUUCCGCCUGGGGAGUACGGCCGCAAGGUUA